UACAGAGGGGGCAAGCGUUGUUCGGAAUUACUGGGCGUAAAGGGCGCGUAGGCGGCCCUCUAAGUCGAACGUGAAAUCCCCGGGCUCAACCCGGGAACUGCGUCCGAUACUGGAAGGCUUGAAUCCGGGAGAGGGAUGCGGAAUUCCAGGUGUAGCGGUGGAAUGCGUAGAGAUCCGGAAGAACACCGGUGGCGAAGGCGGCCCGCUGGGCUGUUGCUGACGCUGAGGCGCGACAGCGUGGGGAGCAAACAGG
rnacentral:rRNA from 1 species